AUUGAACGCUGGCGGCAUGCUUUACACAUGCAAGUCGAACGGCAGCGCGGGCUUCGGCCUGGCGGCGAGUGGCGAACGGGUGAGUAAUACAUCGGAACGUGCCCAGUAGUGGGGGAUAGCUCGGCGAAAGCCGGAUUAAUACCGCAUACGACCUGCGGGUGAAAGCGGGGGGUCUUCGGACCUCGCGCUAUUGGAGCGGCCGAUGGCAGAUUAGCUAGUUGGUGGGGUAAAGGCCUACCAAGGCGAGGAUCUGUAGCUGGUCUGAGAGGACGACCAGCCACACUGGGACUGAGACACGGCCCAGACUCCUGCGGGAGGCAGCAGUGGGGAAUGUUGGACAAUGGGCGAAAGCCUGAUCCAGCAAUGCCGCGUGUGUGAUGAAGGCCUUCGGGUUGUAAAGCACUUUUGGCGGGAACGAAAAGGACUGUGCCAAUACCACGGUUCGAUGACGGUACCCGCAGAAUAAGCACCGGCUAACUACGUG
rnacentral:rRNA from 1 species